UCUGCACAGACUUGUGUCCCAAAGAUAAGACCACUGAUUGUUCCAGCAACGUGCCCAGUUAUACAUUCUGACCAAUUCUUUCCUGGAUCACACUACUUCCACCCUGAGACUCUAUGACUAAGACUAGCCUCUAAAACCAUGAAAGUUCCCUCCCUAAUCUCCUGCUUCCUGUUAAAGGUGGUGGUGCUCUUUUUUGCUCGCCUGUAUGAGAAUGCCCAUGGACCCUGAACUCACCUCCUCCCAUGGACACAACAAAUUUACAACUACUCUUGGAACAAUUACCUCUGAGAGAGAACUGAAAACUGGAUGAAAAGAACGCCUACAACGAGGGACAGUGCUGACUGAGGUGGAAGAGGAAGAAAUUCCUUUCUGGAGAGGAAAGAGCCACCCUUGAGCUGUGGUGCUUCACAGCCAGCAGGGAGCAAUCUUAAGAUGGGGAAACAGAGCCAGAGAGCAUGCCGGGAAGUGGGUAGCGUAUGGCAGUGUUAGAGCCCACGUCUUCUGAAGUCCACUCUUCUUCCCAGCACACCGUGAAACUUUGGCACAUUUCCCUUUGAAGUUCCACUGCAUUUAUUCCAGAAGAAAGGAGUUUAUUCACCCAGACAAAAGUAUACACUGAAAUGUCUAAGGUGUCCUCGCAAGUGGCAAAAAUUGAGGCUGGACAUUUCCCCUGGCCCAGUGGACAGCUACUGUGCUGGCCAGGUUCUGCAACCUUCCUUGCUAGGAGAAAGAGAUACAUUGAGUAUUAAGAUUAGAAGGGCUUGAAGACGUUGUGUUGUCAUUUAAAAAGUUGACUAGGAUGUAGUCGGUUGAAUGAUUUGGUUUAAUUGUGCUUAAUUGAGGCAAAGCUUCGACCAGUGUCCAAAUCUUCUGAUCAAUCUUCAGGACCUUUUCAUCAGGUAAACAAUCUGCGUUCAUUCAGACACUUUAGAAAAUUCAGGUAAGCAAAAAGAAGGAAAAUGUUUU
rnacentral:lncRNA from 1 species